UACAGUCGUUUAUAUUCUGCAUAUUUGACAAUAAAACAAAGUAACAGACAUUUAGAGUAGGCUCUGUUGAAUAAUAUACACGGGCACAAACAAACCAUCAUAUAUAAAAAAGUAUAAUAGAUAUGCAUGUAAAACUUCGCAUGUACGUGUGUGAUGGAUAUGGCUCCUCAAUAAACAUAUCAAAAACGCAUGCGUAAAUAUUUUAAAAAAAUCAAUUGUACACCCCUGGUGUUCCUAUUUAUUGAAAAACCGUGAUAAACAAAUUGUGCAGCAAACAAAGAUUGGUAUAUACCAAGGAGCUAUAUAAUAAUCUAUUAUGUAUGUCCUUGGCAUUUCCUCCUUAAAACACUAAACAAUCAACUAGAACCUACAAUGUAAAAAUUUAGAACAGCCAACUGCUGCUACCUUCUCAAUUAUAAUUUUCACUGGCAUCAGCAAUGAUUUCUCCAUGUUGCAUACUGUACUUAGAUUUCACAAGGGCCAGGCAGCAUUUUUGUUUUAUUUUCCUUUGUGAGCAUUUAAAGUCAAAGUAAUUUCAAAUUACCAUAAUUGAGGAAUAAAUGCAAGGUAGGUCAGCGAUAAUUAUGUCACCCACCAAAACAUAUUAUUUAAUACCAUUGAUAUAACACUUUGAUAAUUUUACACUUGUAAGUAUAUAUUUUUUAAGUACCAAAAUACUAGGAUUAAAUUAAUUUGUAUAUUCCUAACUACUGUUUAAACGUCAUUUUAGUUAGCGACUGUCACGUCACCCACCGUACUCAAGGUAGCGACUAUCACGUCACCCACCGUACUCAAGAAGAGAAUAGAUAUCACGGUACCUGAACCACGUGACUUUUUCGGCUAUGUGUGGGACAAUCGGAUGUAAACAAAACGUCGCUUCAGACUUGAAAAGGAUUAGUCGAAAGAUCUGUAACGCUUUUAAGGUUCGAAGCUGUGUAAGAACUACAUGAACACCAUCAAACCACACGGAAGGUGAUAUGUGGCAAGUUAAAAAUCAAAACCACGGUGACAGAGACAGGGACCCCGCUUCAUUCUGUGAUGUUUAUGGAAAGCUAUUUCAACUAACUACGCAAACAUACCAUUUAACAUGUAUUUUUGCAUAAGCAAAACAAAGUGUGUGUAUUGAUAUGUGUGUAUAUUUAUCGGUUUUGUAUCUAUGUUAUUACUAAAAUUGAUUAGAUGAAUAUAAAAUCUGAUAAUGUGUGUUAAUAAAACAGGUGUUUCAUAACAAAUAAUUUAAAUCCAAUGAUGCGUGUUUGUGGUCUAUUCCAAUAUCAUCUCCAUUUGAACAUCUUCGAAUCCAAUAAUGCUUGUUUGUGGUCUAUUCCAAUAUAAUCUCCAUGAAUAUCUUCAGUAUAUCAAAAUAAACACGUCAUUAAUAAUACCAUUACUUUAUAACUAGCAUGCACAUGUAACAAUAGAAAUUAAAGCGCCAAAUACAUAAAGAAGUACAUUAGUAUUCACAAAGAAAUUGUAAUCAGUCAAUUUAUGAAUUUGCAAAUCUUGCUAUUCAAACAUAUGAAUGCUUCAAUUAAGUCAUAACAAAUGAUCAUCGCCAAAACGUCUUGACUUGUGGGGGUCAUUAUGCCAACAAACAUAUUGAAUUGCAUCAAUACUUAAUUUACUCAAAUUCAAAUGAAAGCUGAAUAACUGACAAUAGUUUGAGAUGUUUAAUGAAAAUACCCAUUCGCCCCGGUCAUGAAAGGGCGCUGCAAGAUCUUGUUACCACUGCACCAAGUAAUUAACAUUAAAUCAUAUAAUGUUGUUCAAUUUGUUGAAAUGUCAAAUUUUUAUGUAAUGUUUACUUUGAUUGUUUUCUUUCCCUGCAAUACUUGCACCAUCUGGUAAUAAAUCAAACAGUCAUUUAAACUUUGGAACAUUUACUAUACAUGUUUGUAUAUGACAACUUUUCAUUGAUCAAGAUAUCAGUACGUCUCUUGAA